rnacentral:rRNA from 1 species
CAAUAGCGUAUAUUAAAGUUGUUGCAGUUAAAAAGCUCGUAGUUGGAUUUCUGGUGGGAGCGAUCGGUCUGGCGCUUAGCGCGAGUACUUGCAUCGUCUCCGGCCAUCCUUGGGGAAGGUCUGUCUGGCAUUAAGUUGUCGGGCAGAGGAUCCUCAUCGUUUACUGUGAAAAAAUUAGAGUGUUCAAAGCAGGCUUAUGCCGUUGAAUAUAUUAGCAUGGAAUAAUAAGAUAGGACUUUGGUACUAUUUUGUUGGUUUGCGCACCAAAGUAAUGAUUAAUAGGGACAGUUGGGGGUAUUCGUAUUCCGUUGUCAGAGGUGAAAUUCUUGGAUUUACGGAAGACGAACUACUGCGAAAGCAUUUACCAAGGAUGUUUUCAUUAA